rnacentral:rRNA from 1 species
GACAGAGGGUGCAAACGUUGUUCGGAAUUACUGGGCGUAAAGCGCGUGUAGGCGGUCGGGCAAGUCGGAUGUGAAAGCCCCGGGCUCAACCCGGGAAGUGCAUUCGAUACUGCUUGGCUAGAGUACUGGAGAGGAUGGUGGAACUCUCGGUGUAGAGGUGAAAUUCGUAGAUAUCGAGAAGAACACCGGCGGCGAAGGCGGCCAUCUGGACAGAUACUGACGCUGAGGCGCGAAAGCUAGGGGAGCAAACGGG